CUCAAAUUCUUGUACUGUCUGUUCAUUUUAUACCCUAACAUUUUUUUUUCAUAGAAUAAAUGCCACUGGAAAUGAUCCAACUUUCAACAUUAGAAUGAGAAUUUUAUCAGAAUGGAACAUAUGCUACUUCAGGAUGGUGGUACACAGACCACCCCCCACCCUCUGGACCUGCCCAUCCAAGGAAAGAUCCCUUUUUAUCUCUGGGGUCUCCAAUGUCUACCACACAACCAAGCUCUGUGAGAGGGGAGGUCAGAGAAACUUAGCACUCAUCAUGUCAUCAUGUCAGUUGGUCCAGCUGAAGAGUGACUUUGACCUGAUGGACCCUAAUGUCUACCUGUUGAGCUCUGGGUACAGCAGUCUCCAUGACCCAAACCUCAGGAAAUACCUCCACCGCAAAGACAUCCACCAACACCUCGUUCCCUGGGCUUCAUUACUAAGGAUGAGAAAGUUACUGAUCUUUCAGUCUUUUACAAUGUGCCCUGCUGAUUCCUUUUAUGAACUAUAUCAUAAUGUUUGGUGUGAUUGUAAGAGUUUUAGUGCACUUGGAUAGUACUGACACCACAACAUAACAUCCCUCAGGAAAAAUAAAGUUAUUCUAAAUAGAAGUUGUUGUCCUUAGACGCAUCCACGUCUCUGCAGGCUCCACCUGCAGGUCUGAACUGGUAAGACAUGAGGGCUACUGUUAUUAUGCCGACGAGAAUGGCUGGAUUGAUUGAUUGAUUGGUCAAUUGAUUCAUUGGUUGAAUUGAAAAAAGAAAUGGCAUUAAAAUAUAGCCACAACAUCAGUAAUAAAAUUAAUACAUAAAAGUUCAUACACAUCUCUAUAUUCCACUGAAUAGGUGAAAUAAAGUUCUCAUAGACUGUAGCAUUUUGUAACAUAAAAGUCAAAAUAACUUUUGGUACAUUUAUAUUCAGUCACGGACUUGAGAACCCUCUCUCCCUGGUCUUAGUUGUGGAAUACUAAAGGUUGUGCGUUGCUGCAGGAGGUCACCAAGGAGGUGAAGAGAGAGAUGAGGCUGGAACGAGGCUGGGUCACAAACUAGCAGGAGAAAGAGAAAAUGAAACGAGAGAGACAACAGAACAGACUGUGUCUCAAAAGGCCAGAAGAAAGAGAGGCAUUCCCCAACCAAGACAGAUUCACAAGACAAUCCGGAGAGCAUGGAAAACAUCCUGAUAUCAGUAUCAGAUCCUGACAACACCCAAGAAACUGAGGGCUCAGGGCUGGUUGACUCUGUCUCCUUCACCUUGGCAACCUGUGGCAGUCUGAUUGGACAAGCUGGCUCCCUUCAGUCCAUCACCCAGCAACUGUCUGAAAUACACAACAGCCAAGAACAAACUUCUGGAAGUGUCAACUAUUGCAGACACAACAGCCAAGACUGAACUUCUGACUAUUGAAGAUACAAUGGCUAAACUGGACAUAGAGAAAGAAGAGAUUAUUGCUGAUGUGAUACCCAAGACUGAAAGUAAGGAGUUGGCCACUGUUGCAGGUACAACAGCCAAGAUUGAAGUUCAAGAAGUGGAGACAACUGCAGAUGUGAUGGUCAAGACUGAAGUCAAGGAAGUAGUUGAGAUUACCAAGAGCGACACCCAAGAGGCAAAGGUAGAGGCUAGUUUUGAGACAGAGAUCAAGCUGACUGAGGGGUUGAACAUUGACACUAAAAUGGAAGAAGAAGCCAAUGCUGAGAUCAAUGCAGAUAAACAAGACAAUACUAUGUCUGAGAAUAACACCAGGAGCUAUGAGCUUAUUCUAACAGCUGGAGAGUCCAAAAUAGAAGUCAGAGAUUAAAAAAUAGAAUCCAAGAUAGAAUUUAGGGAUAAGAAUAUUGAUGCAAAUAAUGAAACUAUGGAUGCAAAGGAUUCUGUUGAGAAUGCAUAUGCUGAGAAGAGUGAACACAGCCAUGGCAGUCAUGGAAGCCCUGAGCUAUCUCAGUCAUCAUCAGACAAUGAUGAAGGUGGUCCUUCGAUGUUCCCCAUAAUCAGCAUGUUGAAGAGCGCUGCCCUGUCCUCAGACCAGGUUAAUGAGAUCAUAGACAAGGUGAUCGACGUCCUGACUGGGGAGGGCCACGAGGUCAUCUUUUCCGAGGACAGGCCAAGUGUCACCUCCAGCCCAGAGUACCAGCCAAAGAACCUGCAUAGGCCACAGUGUUCAGAGGAGAUUCACUGCUGAGUCUCAUUCCAAGCUCUUGCCAUGAAGCAAACUGAAAUGGGUGGAGCUGAUUAGUAUGCUGUGUAUAUUGAUGACCAAAUCCAUUAGCUCCCUGUCUCUGGAUAGAGCUUUUCAGGUUCCAGUUGAUGCAGUCUCAGAUACAAAGGAAAGGAAAGCUUCUGCUGUGAAGUUUAGUACGAAUACCAGAACACUGGUGCCAAUCCCCUCCUCGCCCCACCCUCACUAAGCCUGUCCAAGACGACAGCAGGAGGAAAAUCCGACCUCUCCAGACUGCCAAGAGGAAAGUAUCCCAAGGGUUAGAGGCAGACCUGUAGCCAGAAGGUCACUGGUUGAAAUCCCAGGCAGGGCAAUGAAAAUGUGGGUACUGAAAUUGCAAUUCAAGGGCUGGUGGUUUCAGAGAACAUUUUGAAUAUCCUUUGCAAAAUGCACUAAUAAAGUUAUAUUCUUUCUUCCCUUAUUCUCAACAAAAGAAAGGGUGGUCAACUCCAUGGUCUUGGACAUUUCCAGGACCACUAGUAGAAGCAGUGGGAUGGUGGCUCAGCUGGGUUGUCCAGUCAAGAGCAACAACAGUCUGUUCAGCGAGCUUCCAAGCCCCUCUGCAGCCACCUCAAACACAUCCCUGGGCGCCUCUGAGAUCAUUGCGAAUCUGGAUUCUCCAGACUUCAUGUCAUCCAGUAGCAACACCAGCCCAAGCCCCCCAAAGGAACAGUAGUGACAACAGUCAACUAAUGGAACUGCAGAAACUGCGUUUUCUAAAUAUCUAGGC
rnacentral:lncRNA from 1 species